GUGGGAGGGAGCCGUCGAAGGUGGGAUCGGCGAUUGGGACGAAGUCGUAACAAGGUAGCCGUACCGGAAGGUGCGGCUGGAUCACCUCCUUUCUAAGGAGCA
rnacentral:rRNA from 1 species